CCGUCGGCCAUUUUGGAGGAGGCUGCUAUGAUAAAGCACCCAGAGAUGUCCACCUCGAUAAUAUACAGGUCUUUGCUUCUCGACUCAUCUCUCGCCUCCUCUAACAUGGUCACUGAGAGCAUUAUCUUCAACAGUCCACGCCCAUCAGAGGAGAAUGUGAGUAUUCAGAAGGUGCUCCCUUGUGAUAAAGUUGACAUCCUCCAUGGUCAACCAGUGGAGGAGUAUAUCAUCAAAGCUGAACAAUGCAUCACUCAGGUUAUUCAGGAUGCAGCUGUGACAUAUACUGGCGUGCUGGAUAAAACCGACACUUGUGGGAAACUGUCGGAAGUUCUGUCUGUCUGUGUUUCCGCGGAGAAUAUUGAGGAAGCAUCCUCUGAUCUAUUUGGUGGAAUUAUUUCCGACCUGCAUGAGGUAUUUGAGGUCAAUAAGGCCUCCAUGCGUACGAAAUCAGGUCGCAAAAUGUUCUGGGUGGAAGUGAGUUCAGGUUCCCAGAAGAUUUAUACCAAAACCCUGGACAAACUGAGGAAGCUUUUCACCUCUCACCUUCUCACUGAGGGAAAAAAUACUCCUGUGCAAAUUGAGCUCUAUGACACUGGACUACUUGUAACUGAGACCACUGUGGAGGUAUCUCCUGUACAGAAGACAGACAGUAAUACCUCUUCUAUGUCCUCAGCCUCAGCCCACCAGUUCACCCUCGACACCUGCACUAAAGGGGUCAUCAAACAGGUGAUCUCGGUGCUGAGGUUGGAGACUUCAAAGGAAGACCGCUUCGCUUCCGUUGGGGAGAACACGUCAAAUGCGUCCUUCGACUUCAACCAGAAGUUGGACACGAUCAUUUCGAAAUUGGAGGACCUCAGCAUUUCGAGUGACGUGGCGUCAGCUGAGAUUGCCACGCUCACGCGAUCUCGUAGUGCAGCCAGCAGAACCUCUAACAUUUCCAUCCAGAGCUUUCACAGUGCUGAGUUCCGAGCUAAGGCCAAACAGAUUGUGCGUGAGGCCAUUCUCAGAGCUGCUAGCGAAGCCAACUGUUCUUUGCCACAGAGCAUGCCUAGCAUCACCUUCUCACACCAUGUGGUUUCUACAACUGAAGAUAUAUUGAAUAUGGUCAUGCAAGACCUUGAAAGUGUAUCCCAGUACACAGUGGAGGACACAGACUUCUUCCCACUAGGAGAGAAAAAGCUGCAGUCCCAACUCAAUCCCAGAGUUGUCUUUGACAACUCAUUUUUUGCUGCUCAAAUCAUGUACCACAGAGUAAAGGAUAGACUGAACGUCUUUUUGUCUUUUCCACCCGUGUCAGUCACCACAGCUAAAGAUGUGCUGGACUCCACCCCUGUGGAGACACUCAGAUGCUCGAAGUCCCCUGACACUGCUCUUGUUAAGGACAGGAGCCGCCCUCCGUCUGUGAGAAAUGAGAAGCCAUUUUCAAAAGUCAGUUUGACUAAAAGGUUUAAAGCCCUUGUGUCUUCGAGUGGCUCCUCCACAGACCACCAUGUAAUUGACACAUGCAGUGAGGAUGUCAGUCUGCCCACCAGGAGUAUGUCAGUUGUGAGCGACACCAGUUUGAAGAGAGCCUCUCCUCUCCAUGGUAGUGGAUUGAGUGAAAGUUGUGAACCUCUUGUGGCUCUACAAGACGGAACAGUGGCAGUCAGCCAAGAAGGCUUUAGCAAAACUGCAAAGAAGACGCUCAGCUUGAUCCUAAAUGUGAUCAAGUGCAGAUUGGCCAACUCUGAGAGUUCAUCUGUUGGGCAGAAUGCAAGUGAGGAGUGUCUGAUAGCCACUAAUAUGUUAGACUCUCUACUGGAGAGCCUUGACCUGUUGCCUGACAUGAGCGCUGCCGAUGAGAUCACAAGGACAGAAUGCCAUACCUCUAACGCAAUGGACAAGACAGGUUCACAGUCAGCGCUUGUGAUGACUUCAGCAGAAGAAAAUCUGGAUAGGCUUCUGUCAAUUGAAGCCCUUCAAGAUGCGUCUGGCAACCUGAUCGCAAAGGUCCAUGGUCUCAUUCAGGAGAUAACCAUAAGCCGCCAGCUUCAAUCCAUGACUGGCCACAGAAGCCUCUCUCAACCAGCGCUGCCAAAGCCAGCACUGAGGAAGCUGUCAAAGGACGAUGCGUCAGAGCUCGUUUACAGCUUUGCCCACACUUCUGUUAGCAGACUCCUGGGGCAGUGUUUGGGUAGGCCUAUGCCACCCACUGCUGACAGGGUUUUGGAUCAGGUCAUCAAGUUGAUGACAAACAUGGUGAUGGACAGCCUGACUGAUCUGUCCAAGUCUGCAAUGGAGGGUGACACCAGCAAUGUGUAGUCUUUUCCCCUCUGGUGACAUCACUCAUGGCGUUGUGGCUGACCUUAAUGCUACUGAGGAAUUCCCUGCCAGGGGCCUUAGCCCGGCUGAUGUAAAGGCUGACGGCAUGGCCCGCCUUCCCUCUGCCAGAGGGGAAAAGACUAAGAAGAACAGGAAGUGGCGCUUCCUACCCAAAAUUGGCAAGAUUCCAAAGAUCAGGAUGAAGCUGUUCAAGACAAAAGGGGAACCGAAGAGCCACCCUGAACAGGAUGCGCUGCCUACCAAACGUCUCAGAGAGACUCAUAUUUCACAGAAUGCUGAGUGUGAGGUUCCAGAGGUUCCAUCCACUUCCCCACCCAAGGAGGACCUGACAACCACACUGGCCCCUGCUCCCCAGGAGUGCCAGUCCCGUAAACGCCCUCUCUUAGUCAGGGUGUUACGAGCUAUCUCCAGAGCCGUCUCCAAACCAUUCAGAGGAGCUUUUGGGAAGAAGAAUUAGCCAAAUGCCUGAUUUUAUUACUAUUUUAAUCAGAGCCUUUAUUUAAUAAAACAUUACUGCAUUGA